rnacentral:rRNA from 1 species
GACGAACGCUGGCGGCGUGCCUAAUACAUGCAAGUAGAACGCUGAAGAGAGGAGCUUGCUCUUCUUGGAUGAGUUGCGAACGGGUGAGUAACGCGUAGGUAACCUGCCUUGUAGCGGGGGAUAACUAUUGGAAACGAUAGCUAAUACCGCAUAACAAUGGAUGACACAUGUCAUUUAUUUGAAAGGGGCAAUUGCUCCACUACAAGAUGGACCUGCGUUGUAUUAGCUAGUAGGUGAGGUAAUGGCUCACCUAGGCGACGAUACAUAGCCGACCUGAGAGGGUGAUCGGCCAGACUGGGACUGGGACACGGCCCAGACGGCUACGGGAGGCAGCAGUAGGGAAUCUUCGGCAAUGGGGGCAACACUGACCGAGCAACGCCGCGUGAGUGAAGAAGGUUGUCGGAUCGUAAAGCUCUGUUGUAAGUCAAGAACGGGUGUGAGAGUGGAAAGUUCACACUGUGACGGUAGCUUACCAGAAAGGGACGGCUAACUACGUG